rnacentral:misc_RNA from 1 species
GAUGAAGAACGUAGCGAAAUGCGAUAAGUAAUGUGAAUUGCAGAAUUCAGUGAAUCAUCGAAUCUUUGAACGCACCUUGCACCCUUUGGACUGCUCCAAAGGGUAUGCUCGUUUGAGUGUCAUUGUACUCUCACACUCUCUGAUCCUUUGGAUUUGGGGAGCAGUGGACUUGGGUGCUUGCUGCUUCCUUGUGGCUCACCUGAAAUGCAUCAGUGCAUCUCUCGAUUGGACAUAGUACGGCGUGAUAAGUGUCUUCGCCGGCACCUCAUAUGAGGGUGGCCGAUCGGGAGCUCUGUGCUUCAAACUGUCUUCGGACAACAUCUGACAACUUGACCUCAAAUCGAGUAGGACUACCCGCUGAACUUAAGCAUAUCAAUAAGCGGAGGA